rnacentral:rRNA from 1 species
AACAUCACCUCUUGUUAACAUAAGAGGCCCCGCCUGCCCAGUGAUUUUAUUCAACGGCCGCGGUAUCCCUACCGUGCUAAGGUAGCGUAAUCACUUNGUCUUAUAAAUAAAGACUAGUAUGAAAGGCACCACGAGGAUUAAGCUGUCUCCUUCCUCUAAUCAGUGAACCUAAUCUCCCCGUGAAGAAGCGGGGGUAUUUCUAUAAGACGAGAAGACCCUAUGGAGCUUUAAACACACUACACGUGCUUACAUAAUUACACAACUAAGGUUCUUACCACACCAGCACGCUGAUUUUAUGUUUUUGGUUGGGGUGACCGCGAAGAAUAAAAUAUCCUUCAUGAUGAAAGAGACACUUCCCUAAAAUAUAAGCCACAACUUUACUUAUCAACAAAUUGACAUCCAUUGACCCAAUAUUUGAUCAACGAACCAAGUUACCCUAGGGAUAACAGCGCAAUCCAUUUUAAGAGCUCAUAUCGACAAAUGGGCUUACGACCUCGAUGUUGGAUCAGGGUAUCCCAGUGGUGUAGCCGCUACUAAAGGUUCGUUUGUUCAACGAUUAAAACCCUACGUGA